rnacentral:rRNA from 1 species
UCCAGGCCCUACGGGGUGCAGCAGGCGCGAAAACUUUACAAUGCGAGAAAUCGUGAUAAGGGAACCCCGAGUGCCCGUAAAUUCGGGCUGUCCAUCAGUGCAAAAAACUGGUGAAGAAAGAGCCGGGCAAGACCGGUGCCAGCCGCCGCGGUAAUACCGGCGGCUCGAGUGGUGGCCACUAUUACUGGGCUUAAAGCGUC